rnacentral:rRNA from 1 species
AACGGCGAAGUGAAGCGGUAACAGCUCAAAUUUGAAAUCUGGCCUCACGGCCCGAGUUGUAAUUUGUAGAGGAUGCUUCGAGCAUGGUCCGGCCUAAGUUCCUUGGAACAGGACGUCAUAGAGGGUGAGAAUCCCGUAUGCGGCCGGGUGCCUACGCUUAUGUGAAGCUCCUUCGACGAGUCGAGUUGUUUGGGAAUGCAGCUCAAAAUGGGUGGUAAAUUUCAUCUAAAGCUAAAUAUUGGCCAGAGACCGAUAGCGCACAAGUAGAGUGAUCGAAAGAUGAAAAGCACUUUGGAAAGAGAGUUAAACAGUACGUGAAAUUGUUGAAAGGGAAGCGCUUGCGACCAGACUUGCGUGCGGCCGAUCAUCCGGUGUUCUCACCGGUGCACUCGGCCGCGCUCAGGCCAGCAUCGGUUUCGGCGGCUGGAUAAAGGCCCUAGGAAUGUGGCUCCUCUCGGGGAGUGUUAUAGCCUAGGGUGCAAUGCAGCCCGCUGGGACCGAGGACCGCGCUUCGGCUAGGAUGCUGGCGUAAUGGUCGUAAGCGGCCCGUCUUGAAACACGGACCAAGGAGUCUAACAUCUAUGCGAGUGUUUGGGUGUCAAACCCAUACGCGUAAUGAAAGUGAACGGAGGUGAGAACCCUUAAGGGUGCAUCAUCGACCGAUCCUGAUGUCUUCGGAAGGAUUUGAGUAAGAGCAUAGCUGUUGGGACCCGAAAGAUGGUGAACUAUGCCUGAAUAGGGUGAAGCCAGAGGAAACUCUGGUGGAGGCUCGCAGCGGUUCUGACGUGCAAAUCGAUUCGUCAAAUUU